rnacentral:rRNA from 1 species
UGGGGAAUAUUGCGCAAUGGGCGAAAGCCUGACGCAGCGACGCCGCGUGGGGGAUGAAGGCCUUCGGGUUGUAAACCCCUUUCAGCAGGGACGAAGCGAAAGUGACGGUACCUGCAGAAGAAGCGCCGGCUAACUACGUGCCAGCAGCCGCGGUAACACGUAGGGCGCAAGCGUUGUCCGGAAUUAUUGGGCGUAAAGAGCUCGUAGGCGGUCUGCUACGUCCGCUGUGAAAACCUAGGGCUUAACCCUGGGCUUGCAGUAGAUACGGGCAGACUAGAGGUAGGUAGGGGAGAAUGGAAUUCCCGGUGUAGCGGUGAAAUGCGCAGAUAUCGGGAGGAACACCGGUGGCGAAGGCGGUUCUCUGGGCCUUACCUGACGCUGAGGAGCGAAAGCGUGGGGAGCAAACAGGAUUAGAUACCCCCGUAGUCC